rnacentral:rRNA from 1 species
GACGAACGCUGGCGGCGUGCUUAACACAUGCAAGUCGAACGGACAGGCCCUGCUUUUGUGGGGUGCUCGUGUGGCGAACGGGUGAGUAACACGUGAGUAACCUGCCCCUGACUUUGGGAUAACUUCUGGAAACUGGGGCUCAUACCGGAUAGGAGCUCCUGCUGCAUGGUGGGGGUAGGAAAGUUUCGGCGGUUGUGGCUGGACUCGCGGCUUAUCCGCUUGUUUGUGGGGUAGUGGCUUACCAAGGCUUUGACGGGUAGCCGGCCUGGGAGCGUGACCGGGCACAUUGGGACUAAGAUAGGGCCCAGUAGCCUACCGGAGGCAGCAGUGGGGAAUAUGGCACAAUGGGCGGGAGCCAGAUGCAGCAACGCCGCGUGCGGAAUGACGGGCUUCGGGGUGUAAACCGAUUUCGCCUGUGACGUAGAGUGAGUGACGGUAAUGGGUAAAGAAGCAACGGCUAACUACGUG